rnacentral:misc_RNA from 1 species
UACGGAGGGUGCAAGCGUUGUCCGGAUUUAUUGGGUUUAAAGGGUGCGUAGGCGGCUAAUUAAGUCAGUGUUGAAAUUCGGCAGCUUAACUGUCGGCCCGGCAUUGAUACUGAAUAGCUUGAGUAAAGUAGAGGUAGGCGGAAUUUAUGGUGUAGCGGUGAAAUGCAUAGAUACCAUAAAGAACACCGAUUGCGAAGGCAGCUUGCUAUGCUUUAACUGACGCUGAGGCACGAAAGCGUGGGGAUCAAACAGG